UUCCUACGGGAGGCUGCAGUGGGGAAUAUUGCGCAAUGGGCGAAAGCCUGACGCAGCGACGCCGCGUGAGGGACGACGGCCUUCGGGUUGUAAACCUCUUUCAGCAGGGACGAAGCGAAAGUGACGGUACCUGCAGAAGAAGCACCGGCCAACUACGUGCCAGCAGCCGCGGUAAUACGUAGGGUGCAAGCGUUGUCCGGAAUUAUUGGGCGUAAAGAGCUCGUAGGCGGUCUGUCACGUCGGAUGUGAAAACUCGGGGCUCAACCCCGAGCCUGCAUUCGAUACGGGCAGACUUGAGUUCGGCAGGGGAGACUGGAAUUCCUGGUGUAGCGGUGAAAUGCGCAGAUAUCAGGAGGAACACCGGUGGCGAAGGCGGGUCUCUGGGCCGAUACUGACGCUGAGGAGCGAAAGCGUGGGGAGCGAACAGGAUUAGAUACCCUGGUAGUCUG
rnacentral:rRNA from 1 species